GUUGUGUUAAAACAGUGUCAGAAUGAAGCUGGUGCUGGUGGUGGUGGCGGUGGCGAUGGUGGUGGAAGGUGCAAGAGCGGAGCAGAAGAAAGGAGGAAGCAACAAUGAUGAUAAAAAGAGCCUCAAGAUACCGAAGGAGUUUUUACAAUGGGAUCGAUUCAACAAGAGAUUUCUACACCACAUCAACAUCCACCCUUCAAAACUCAAAGAAAACGAGAUCAAACCCCAUCUGUACACUCUUCUCAAAAAACUUGACUUCCUUACUUUGGUUGAGGACUAUUUGAACAAGAAAUUAGGCAACGUGAGGACAGAGGAGCAGGCGAGGCGUGUCUUUACUCUUCUCGACCUCUUGAGCGCCCAGGAGCCUCUUAGAAUGCGCUAUUUGAAGCAGAUGCGAGAAGCUCUGGUGUCGCUGUUUGAGAGACACCCAAACGCCGCCAAACACACCAUACCUUCUCAUUUCAUCCUGGGAGCUUUUGACAGACACGUGAAGGCCAGGAAGCGCCGGGCCAUGGCUGUCUUAAGACGCGUGAUGGUUGGUAGCCCUGAGACCAUCACAACACUGGUUCACUACAAGGCUGGAAGAUACAGCGCUCUUGACCACACGCUCCGCCGCCACGCCAUUGCCAACCCCUUCAUGGAGGUGAGCGACAAACAAUGGUACCACAUCAAGCCAGCGACCUCUCCUCAUUUGACCCUCAGCAUUGACCUCCUGACCUGGCGUAUGCUCCUGGUCAACCACACCUUCUCCCCAACGCUCUUCAGAUUCAAGGCAGUCUCCGAGAAACGCCAACAAAUAUACAGUGUCCGCAGCGCCGUCUUGUCCUCAUCUGCCAGUCUGUCCUAUCCUUGCCACCACCACCACCACCACCUCUGUUUCAGCUACGAGGACUCAGUAUCUGUAGAGUUGGUAACCCUGCAGCGGGGCGAGGUAGCGUUGACCAGCAAAGGGAGGAACGGAACAGUGCUUUACCUGCGGGACGCCACCGGGGGGAGAGAGGCGGCGUUCCCCAGGGUCCCAGUGCCCACUAUGACGCCCCAGUACCCAGGAAGACCCGCCCACUGGAUCCUCUCGCCGCUGAAGAGGGAAAGAUAAGGAAGGUGGUGGUAUAUUGGCGGUUUUUGAAGGAUUUUAAAAGAGAAUGGCGUGAAAAAUGAAAGAAAAAGGUUAUUAGGCGUUAUAUUACGAAGUUAAUGAAGGAAAUGAAGAAAAAGAAGAGUUAGAAGAAGGAAAGAAGAUAGGGAAGAUGUUUUUUUGAAGGAUUUUAGAAGAGAAUGGUGUGAAAAAUGAAAGAAAAAGGUUAUUAGUUAUUAUAUUAGGAAGAUAAUGAAGGAAAUGAAGAAAAAGAAGAGUUAGAAGAAGGAAAGUAGAUAGGGGAGAUGUUUUUUUAAGGAUUUUAGAAGAGAAUGGUGUGAAAAAAUGAAAGAAAAGGUUAUUAGUUAUUAUAUUAGGAAGAUUAAUGAAGGAAAUGAAGAAAAAGAAGAGUUAGAAGAAGGAAAGAAGAUAGGGAAGAUGUUUUUUUGAAAGAUUUUAGAAGAGAAUGGUGUGAAAAAUGAAAGAAAAAGGUUAUUAGUUAUUAUAUUAGGAAGAUAAUGAAGGAAAUGAAGAGUUAGAAGAAGAAAAGAAGAUAGGGAAGAUGUUUUUUGCAGUUUUUUGAAGGAUUUUAGAAGAGAAUGGUGUGAAACAAGGAGAAGGAAAGUUAUUGAAGUAAAAAGAGAUGUUAUAUUUUAUAGAUGGUGAAGGAAAUGAAGAAAGAAGGAAAGAUGAUAAUAGGAAGAU